rnacentral:rRNA from 1 species
AGUGAACGCUGGCGGCGUGCCUAAUACAUGCAAGUCGAACGGAGUGGCGCACGGGUGAGUAAUGUAUAGCUAAUCUGCCCUCCACUAGAGGACAACAGUUGGAAACGGCUGCUAAUACUCCAUAGUGUAGGAUGAGGCUAUAUUGUAUCAGCUAGUUGGUGAGGUAAUGGCUCACCCAGGCUAUGACGCAGCACUGGUCUGGGAGGAUGUUCAGUAACACUGGAACUGAUACACGGUCCAGACUCCUACGGGAGGCAGCAGUAGGGAAUAUUGCGCAAUGGGGGAAACGCUGAAGCAGCAACGCCGCGUGGAGGAUGACACUUUUCGGAGCGUAAACUCCUUUUGUUAGGGAAGCGGUACCUACCGAAUAAGCACCGGCUAACUACGUGCCAGCAGCCGCGGUAAUUC